GUAUUACAAUUUUCCACCCCGUAGGGCUCAAAAGACAUGCGUUUAAACAGGCUGAGAUAAAGGAGGGAACGCCCCGGUCCAGCCCCCCUCAGAGAGAGACGCCGGACGGCUCCAAAUGGGAGACGCUCGCCAUAGGUGCACAGGUGUGUGUGGGAUUAGAGAUGGGGGCGCGCACAUGCCCUCGCGGGCCAGCAUCCAACCCCCUAAUCAUACUGUAAUGAUCCUUCCGCAGGUUCACCUACGGAAA
rnacentral:misc_RNA from 1 species